rnacentral:lncRNA from 1 species
UCAAACCCCUGCCCUCUCCAAUUCUCUCUUGCCCUUCCGAAACCCUAGCCUUCUCCACUGGUUUCCACCAUGUUUCGACGGAAUCCAUGGCAUCCCCAAGCCCUAGGUGGCCUGUACUCACCUCCAUGUGCUCUUGUACACCUGCUACUAGAAGAUUCAAGGUCUGACCUUGAAGGUUUUCGCUCAGAUCUUCGCCGAUUCAAGUUUCACGGCCAUCUCUGGCAUAUCCUGGUCCUAUGAGCCUAUCUCUGGCUCACCUGGCUCAGAG